AUGGACGACUUCGUGCUCCGCUCCGGCGUGCGCGUGGGGCUGAAGCGGGAGUUCGCCUUCGCCAUCGCCUCCCAGGCCGCCCUCGCCCCCUCCCUCGGCCGCACCCGCUCCUCCCGCUCAUCCACCGCCGCCGCCGUCCUCUCCCCGCCGACCACCAAGCCCAAGCCCUCCUCCCGCUCCUCCAAGCGCUCCCGCCCAUCGGCCUCGGCGCCGGCCAAGCGCGCCCGCUCGCGGCCCCCGGAUCCGGACCCCGCCGCCGCGGAUCCGCCGCGGGAUCCUCCUCCUCCCCCCGCCGCCGCCGACGCGGAUGUGCCGGUUGACGCACCGUUCGCUGCCGCCACGCCCAUCGCAAACGGGCCCCAACUGCCUCCCGCCGCCGCCGACGGGGAUGCGCCGGUGCGCGCCCCGCUCGCUGCCGCCUCGCCCACCGCAAACGGGCCCCAGCCGCCUCCCGCCGCCGCCGUCGCCGUCGCCGGGGAUGAGCCGGUGCUCGCCCUAUUCGCCGCCAACGCGCCCACCACAAGCGCGCCCCAACCGCCUCCGCAGCAGAGGCAGCAGGAGGAGGCCUUCUUCAUCCCGCCGGAGACGCCGCCCAGGCGGGUCACCCGCUCCAUGCUCUCCCCUGCCCCCGCCCCCGCCACCGCUCCCCCCCAGCCCGCCAGACCCAGACCCAAACCCAAACCCAUGCUCAAGCCCAAGCAGGAGCCCGUGGACGAGCCCACCGACCACCUCCAGCCCUACCCCGGGGGACUCACCGGAGGCGUAGCAAGCCCGGCCUCGCCGCGCCGCUUCACCAGGUCGCUCUUGCAACAGGUCAAGCAGCCGCCCACCGACGACGGCGACAACGACGAGUCAGGCACCACCACCGCCAGCAGCUCCCCGUCGCCCUCCCCCAAGAGCAAGAGCACCAAGCGCGGCGCCAGCCUCAAGGCCAAGUCAGAGGGGCCAGAUGGAAUCCCCAAGAACCUCAGGGAGCUCUUCGCCACCGGCUUGCUCGAGGGCCAGCCCGUCAACUACUUCAUGAACAAGGGGAAGCGACCAGUACUCCGUGGAGUCAUCAAAGACACCGGCAUAUUGUGCUCUUGCACUUCAUGUAAAGGCCGAAAUGUCGUUUCACCUUUUUAUUUCGAGGUGCAUGCCGGGAGUCAUAAAAAGCGACCCUCCGAUUACAUUUUCCUGGAAAGUGGAAAUACUCUGCAUGAUGUAUUGAGGGCGUGCACGGAUGCUACCGUAGACACACUGGAAUCUGCAAUACUGGGAGCAAUAGGCCCUGUGCCUAAGAAGAGGACAGUGACGUGCCAGGACUGCAAAAGUUCGUUCAAAACUUCCCGCGCUGGAAAAUUUGCUUCCUUCUGCGAGAUAUGUCUGGAGUCUAAGGAAGUUCAGAGUACGGCAAGGCCGAGAGGACGGCCACCUAAGAAUCUCUCCCCAGGGACGAAAACCACAAGUGCAGCAAGCCCAACUUCAUCAUAUGGAGCGAAGACCACACGCGCAGGAAGUCCAACUUCAUACGGCAGGGUGCCUAGGAAUUUCUACCCAGUAGCCAAGACAAUAAGUGCAGCAGCAAGCCCAACUUCAUCUGGCAGGGUGCCUAAGAAUUUCUCCCCAGGAUCGAAGCCUACAAGUGCAGGAAGAAUUACAAGAAAGGACCAUGGCUUGCACAAGUUGGUUUUCAUGAGUGGUGUUUUGGCAGAGGGCACAGACGUCGGCUAUUAUGUCCAGGGAAAGAGGUUGCUGGAUGGCCACAUAACGGAACAUGGAAUCUAUUGUUAUUGCUGCAACACAGUGGUUAGCCCUUCACAGUUUGAAGGCCACGCUGGCCGAGCUGCUCGACGCAAACCUUACCACAACAUAUACAUUUCCAAUGGCGUUUCACUACACGAGCUGUCGGUUUCUCUUUCAAAAGGCCGAAAACCUUCAGAAAAGCAGAACGAUGACUUAUGCACCAUCUGUUCAGAUGGCGGGGAGCUUCUUCUUUGUGACUCCUGUCCGAGAGCUUUUCACAGAGAAUGUGUUGGCUUGUCUUCUGUACCGAAGGGAGCUUGGUGUUGCCGGUAUUGUGAAAAUAGGCAACAGAGAGAAGGUUAUUUGGCAUACAACAACAAUGCAAUAGCCGCUGGGAGGGUCGAUGGAGUUGAUUCCAUCGGACAAAUAUUUAUGCGGUCGAUCCGUAUUGCCACAGCACCUCAGGGUGCAUUUGGUGGAUGCGCAUUGUGCAAGCAACAUGAUUUUGGCAAAAGGAAAUUUAGCGAACGAACUGUGCUGCUCUGUGAUCAAUGUGGGAGGGAAUAUCACGUUGGAUGCCUGAAAGAACACAACAUGGCUGACUUGACGGCAUUGCCCGAGGGAGCAUGGUUUUGUUCCACUGUAUGUGUGGAGAUCUGCGAGGCACUGAAGGACCUAGUCAGUCGUGGAGCAGAACCUGUUCCUGCCGUGGAUGCUGAUCUCAUAAAGAAGAAGCGUGCGGAGAAAGGUUUGAACGACGAUGGCGACCUUGAUGUUAGAUGGAGGGUUUUGAGGGACAAAAGUUCAGAAGAUAGUAAACUGGUGCUGUCCAAGGCGGUUGGUAUUUUCCAUGAAUCAUUUGAUCCUAUCAUCCAAGCUGGGACUGGGCGAGACCUGAUUCCAGCCAUGGUCUAUGGGAGGAGCGUAAGGGAUCAAGAUUACACAGGGAUGUACUGUGCGGUGUUAACUGUCGGCAAGACGGUGGUUUCUGCUGGACUCUUCCGUGUGAUGGGCAACGUAGCCGCGGAGCUCCCCUUGGUCGCGACGAGCAGGGAUAACCAAGGCUUGGGGUACUUCCAGGCGCUGUUUGCGUGCAUCGAGCGGGUGCUGUCGUCCCUGAAGGUGAAGCACUUUGUGCUGCCGGCGGCGGAGGAGGCGGUGUUGAUCUGGACGCAGCGGUUCGGGUUUGGCAAGAUAACCCAGGACAAGCUGCUGGAGUACCUCAAGGGCGGGCGGCCGACGGUGUUCCAUGGCACGUCGACCCUGCACAAGCCUAUCCCGGUGGCUGAGGCGGAGGCGGAGGCGGAUGCGCGGGUGCCUGAGGAGGAGGAAGAAGCGCCGGAGGAGGAAGGAGAGCCGGUGCCCGAUGAGGAGGAAGGAGAGCCGGUGCCCGAGGAGGAGGAGGAGGAGUGA
rnacentral:rRNA from 1 species